rnacentral:antisense_RNA from 1 species
GACAUAUAGGAAACCUUCAUCAUCCAUAUACCCAAUAUCUCCUGUUGCAAGCCAUC